rnacentral:rRNA from 1 species
UCAGAUUGGGAUAACACUUGGAAACAGGUGCUAAUACCGUAUAACAAUCGAAACCGCAAGGUUUUGAUUUGAAAGGCGCUUUCGGGUGUCGCUGAUGGAUGGACCCGCGGUGCAUUAGCUAGUUGGUGAGGUAACGGCUCACCAAGGCCACGAUGCAUAGCCGACCUGAGAGGGUGAUCGGCCACAUUGGGACUGAGACACGGCCCAAACUCCUACGGGAGGCAGCAGUAGGGAAUCUUCGGCAAUGGACGAAAGUCUGACCGAGCAACGCCGCGUGAGUGAAGAAGGUUUUCGGAUCGUAAAACUCUGUUGUUAGAGAAGAACAAGGAUGAGAGUAACUGUUCAUCCCUUGACGGUAUCUAACCAGAAAGCCACGGCUAAUUACGUGCCAGCAGCCGCGGUAAUACGUAGGUGGCAAGCGUUGUCCGGAUUUAUUGGGCGUAAAGCGAGCGCAGGCGGUUUCUUAAGUCUGAUGUGAAAGCCCCCGGCUCAACCGGGGAGGGUCAUUGGAAACUGGGAGACUUGAGUGCAGAAGAGGAGAGUGGAAUUCCAUGUGUAGCGGUGAAAUGCGUAGAUAUAUGGAGGAACACCAGUGGCGAAGGCGGCUCUCUGGUCUGUAACUGACGCUGAGGCUCGAAAGCGUGGGGAGCAAACAGGAUUAGAUACCCUGGUAGUCCACGCCGUAAACGAUGAGUGCUAAGUGUUGGAGGGUUUCCGCCCUUCAGUGCUGCAGCUAACGCAUUAAGCACUCCGCCUGGGGAGUACGACCGCAAGGUUGAAACUCAAAGGAAUUGACGGGGGCCCGCACAAGCGGUGGAGCAUGUGGUUUAAUUCGAAGCAACGCGAAGAACCUUACCAGGUCUUGACAUCCUUUGACCACUCUAGAGAUAGAGCUUCCCCUUCGGGGGCAAAGUGACAGGUGGUGCAUGGUUGUCGUCAGCUCGUGUCGUGAGAUGUUGGGUUAAGUCCCGCAACGAGCGCAACCCUUAUUGUUAGUUGCCAUCAUUCAGUUGGGCACUCUAGCAAGACUGCCGGUGACAAACCGGAGGAAGGUGGGGAUGACGUCAAAUCAUCAUGCCCCUUAUGACCUGGGCUACACACGUGCUACAAUGGGAAGUACAACGAGUUGCGAAGUCGCGAGGCUAAGCUAAUCUCUUAAAGCUUCUCUCAGUUCGGAUUGCAGGCUGCAAC